rnacentral:lncRNA from 1 species
UUAUAAAAUAGAACAAACAAAAACUGACCGACAAAUACACCAGACUUGGGCUCCAUUAGCGACCUUAAAUAAUUUCACACAUCUAUUGAUUCAUAAAAUACUAUUUUAUCAUUUAUUGAACUUUAAUACCGUGAUAGGAAAUAGGGUGAGGGGUCCUUACCUGUUUCGGGGUCUGAAUUCGACUCUACAGUGUGCCUACAGG